CCUCCGUGUGCUGUGGGCCGCCGUGCUUGUGCUCGUGGCGGAGCGGCGGCUUGGGCUGGGCUCGGCCGUCGGGCGGCGGCAGGGAGUGCAGUCGGAAAGGAAGAGAUGGAACUGCAGCGCACAUGCCAGCUGGGAAUCGGUGACUCAGGAUAUUCAGUCAUAAAUGGUGUCCGUCCCUUUCCAGCUGAACGCAGGGAGCAGCGAUGAGGUUUGAGCUUGACGUAAGAGCAGGGUUCUACUCGAACCCGAGGAUUCCCACACUGGAUUUUACAACCUGCCUUCACAUAUGAGAUGUUGAAGCUUUCAAUGAGGUCACGCCAGACACUGACAAGCACUGAUGGGAUGUCAGUACGAAUUGUUAUUUUGAUGAUUCCUUGCCCCCAUACUUCUGAAAGGGAAAGCAACUGUAAACACAAGGGAGACUGAC